rnacentral:lncRNA from 1 species
GCGCAUGAGCGGACGCUGCCUACGGGUGGCCGGGCGGGAUGUAACCGGCUGCUGAGCUGGCAGUUCUGUGUCGCUAGGCUUCUGCCCGGCCGCCGCCGCACAUAAGCUGCGAGGAGGAGCUUUACGACUUCCCGGUCUUCGGGGCCGGGCGCAGCAAGGGCCAGACUCUGCGCUAGCAGGCGCUGCGCGCCAACCGGCCGGCACCUGUCGCAGAAGGUGCAACCGAUCGCACUGUCGCGCAGAAGCUCCUCAAUGGCCAGCGCCAGCUGCAGCCCCGGCCGCCCACUCGCCUCAUCUGAGCCUGGCUGGCAGCCUGCUAUCAAUUACAUUGAUAGUAAAUUUGAGGACUACCUAAAUGCAGAAUCGCAAGUGAACAGAUGUCAGAUGCCUGGUAACAGGGUGCAGUGUUGUUUAUACUUCAUUGCUCCUUCAGGACAUGGAGACAGAUCUCAUUAUGUUGCCCAGGGUGAUCCUUGAUCUCCUGGCCUCAAGUGAUCCUCCAACCUUGGUCUCCCAAAGUGCUGGGAUUACAGAUGUGAACUACCACACCCAGUCAACGUGCAGAAGGUUUUCAGUUUGAUGUAGUCUGAUGUAGUCUCAUGUAUUUAUCCUUGUUGUUGUUGCCUGAGCUUUUGGUGUGAUAUCCAAAAAUAUCAUUGCCAAGAUCAAUAUCAAGAAACUUUCCCCCUAUGUUUCUUACAGAAAUUUUAUGGUUUCAGAUUUUUCAUCUAUUUUGAGUAUAUUUUUGUGUAUGAUGUAAGAUAAGGGUCCAGUCUCCCCAGUGUUGGAUAUCCAAUUUUCAUAACACCAUUUAUUGAAGAGAUUAUUCUUUCUCCACUGUGUUUUCUUGAUGUCCUUGUCAAAAAUUAGUUGACUUUUAUAUGCUUGGGUUUAUUUCUGGGCUCUAUUCUGUUUCAUUGCUUUACAUCUCUGUUUUCAUGCCAGUGCCACAGUGUUUUGAUUACUAUAGCUUUGUAAUAUAAUUUGAAAUCAGAAUGUGUAAUACCUAUAACUUUGUUUUUUGCUCUAAAGAUUUAUUUAUUUAUUUAUUUAUUUUUGCCAUUUCAGGUCUUUUGUGGUUUCAUAUGAAUUUCAGAAUUGUUUUUCCUAUUUCUGUGAAAAAUGCCAUUGACAUUUUGAUAGGGAUUGUGUUGAAUCUAUAUAUUGCUUUGGAUAGUAUGGAUGUUUUAACACUAUUAAUUCUCCCAAUCCAUGAACAUGAAAUAUCUUUCCAUUCACUUGUGUCUUCUUCAAUUUCUUUCAUCAAUGUUUUAUAGUUUUCAUUGUGCAGAUCUUUCACUUACCUGGUUAAAUUUAUUCCUACAAUUUCAUUCUUUUUGAUAUUAGGGUAAAUUGAAUUAUUUUCUUGAUUUCUAUAAAUUAUUUAUUAUCAUACUCAUACUUGUCAGGCCUCUGGGCCCAAGCCUGCAUGUAUACAUCCAGAUGGCCUGAAAUAACUGAAGAAUCACAAAAGAAGUGAAAAUGGCCAGUUCCUGCCUUAACUGGUGACAUUACCUUGUGAAAUUCCUUCUCCUGGCUCAGAAGCUCCCCCGCUGAGCACCUUGUGACCCCCGUCCCUGCCCACCAGAGAACAACCCCCUUUGACUGUAAUUGUCCACUACCCACCCAAAUCCUAUAAAACAGCCCCACCCCUGUCUCCCUUCACUGACUCCUUUUUCAGACUCAGCCUGCCUGCACCCAGGUGAAAUAAACAGCCUUGUUGCUCACACAAAGCCUGUUGGUGGACUCUCUUCACACAGAUGCGCAAGACAAUACUAACACCAAUAUUAUUUUGAUUCGUCAGAUGGAAAAGUAAGGCUUGAAGAGGUUAGAAAUAACUUUUCCAAGGUCAC